rnacentral:rRNA from 1 species
ACGAUGAAGCUUAGAUGAUUUCUUCGGAAUGAACUUAAGUGGAUUAGUGGCGAACGGGUGAGUAACACGUGAGUAACCUGCCUUACACAAGGGGAUAGCCUCUGGAAACGGAGAAUAAUACCCUAUAAAGUCUAAUCAGCCCAUGCUGGAAAGACCAAAGAUUUAUCGGUGUAAGAUGGACUUGCGUCUGAUUAGCUAGUUGGUGAGAUAAAAGCUCACCAAGGCGACGAUCAGUAGCCGGCUUGAGAGAGUGUACGGCCACAUUGGGACUGAGACACGGCCCAAACUCCUACGGGAGGCAGCAGUGGGGAAUUUUGCACAAUGGGGGAAACCCUGAUGCAGCGACGCCGCGUGAUUUAGAAGGCCUUCGGGUUGUAAAAAUCUUUUUUACGGGAUGAAAAUGACAGUACCGUAAGAAUAAGGUCCGGCUAAAUACGUGCCAGCAGCCGCGGUAAUACGUAUGGACCGAGCGUUGUCCGGAAUCAUUGGGCGUAAAGGGUACGUAGGCGGCCUAGUAAGUUAGAAGUUAAAGAAUAUAGCUCAACUAUAUAAAGCUUUUAAAACUGCUAGGCUUGAGAGAUGGAAGGGAAAGUGGAAUUCCUAGUGUAGCGGUGAAAUGCGCAGAUAUUAGGAAGAAUACCGGUGGCGAAGGCGACUUUCUGGUCAUCAUCUGACGCUGAGGUACGAAAGCGUGGGUAGCAAACAGGAUUAGAUACCCUGGUAGUCCACGCUGUAAACGAUGAGUGUUAGGUUCUUGGAAUAAUCUGGGAGCCGCAGCUAACGCAUUAAACACUCCGCCUGGGGAGUACGCACGCAAGUGUG